GCAGUCGUGGCGAUGGACUAGAAAUCCAUUGGGGUCUCCCCGCACAGGUUCGAAUCCUGUCGACUACG
rnacentral:tRNA from 1 species